rfam:Jannaschia rubra strain CECT 5088 genome assembly, contig: 0015
GGGACGGAGGUGCGCCUGUGGGAAGGCGCACCGGAUGGUUCCCCCUCAAGAGACCCUUCGCAGGCGAUGGCCCCGGUGCCCGACGGGACCCAUC